rnacentral:pre_miRNA from 1 species
GGGGGAGCGCCAGAUCUUGGGGUGUGUCCCCCAGUGCCCUGGGCUCCGGGGCCUGUGCCGCUGGGAUCGUGCUCCCGGGACCGCGCAUUACCCU